GCCUAGUUGGCUCAGUCAGUAGAGCAUGGGACUCCAAAUCUCGGGGUUGUGAGUUCGAGCCCCACACUGGGUA
rfam:Mustela putorius furo unplaced genomic scaffold scaffold00153, whole genome shotgun sequence.